CUGCUCUUCUUCUACUACAAACAUCAUAAAUCCCUGAACAUAACCCCCCUGUGCAUAGGUGGCUUUAGACAGGGGCCAGUAGAGAACGAUGUAGAGAGAGAGGAUGGAGAUGAUGAGGAGCAGGAUGACAGAGAGACAGAGGAGUUAGUUGGAGAGGAUGCAGACAGUCCUGAGAGUGAGGAGGAAGACGGGCUGUGAGGGAGAGGAAGAGGGACAACCAGCGGUUUGUGAUGUUGAACAGACCUGUGUGUCUACGUACAAAGAUGAUCCACCAGUGCUGCCCAGUUUGAGGACAUUUCCAGUCACAUUAAUGGGGGACAGGAGACGCAGCUUCCAUCAAAGCUGGUAUGAAAGUCAUCGUUGGAUUCUCUGUAAUUAUGGACUCUGCCUGUUUCAGGCCACCAAAUAUGUCAGACGUGGAUUUUAAA